rnacentral:tRNA from 1 species
GUAGCUGUAGCUCAGUGGCAGAGUGCUUGCCUAGCAUGCAUGAGGCCCUGGGUUCAAUUCUCAGCACCACA